UUGAACGCUGGCGGCAUGCUUUACACAUGCAAGUCGAACGGUAACAGGCCGCAAGGUGCUGACGAGUGGCGAACGGGUGAGUAAUGCAUCGGAACGUGCCCAGUCGUGGGGGAUAACUACUCGAAAGAGUAGCUAAUACCGCAUACGAUCUAUGGAUGAAAGCGGGGGACCGUAGGGCCUCGCGCGACUGGAGCGGCCGAUGUCAGAUUAGGUAGUUGGUGGGGUAAAGGCUCACCAAGCCAACGAUCUGUAGCUGGUCUGAGAGGACGACCAGCCACACUGGGACUGAGACACGGCCCAGACUCCUACGGGAGGCAGCAGUGGGGAAUUUUGGACAAUGGGCGCAAGCCUGAUCCAGCAAUGCCGCGUGCAGGAAGAAGGCCUUCGGGUUGUAAACUGCUUUUGUACGGAACGAAACGGCUCUGGUUAAUACCCGGGGCUAAUGACGGUACCGUAAGAAUAAGCACCGGCUAACUACGUG
rnacentral:rRNA from 1 species